GAGGAAGCGAAUGGCAGUGCCCUUCCCAGUGCUUAAACACCAGCAGCUGAAACAUUGUUUCUGGUGCUUUCACAGGUGAAAGCAAUACAAUUCCUGCAGAAUUGAGCAACACAAGUAGAGGAGGAGGAGGGAGUACGGGAAGGAGAGUACCAAAAGCGAGUAUUUCCAGAACUGGUUGCAGAUCCUUUGAAAAUGGAGAAAGCCACACUGCAGAACCUAAUGCACAACCCAGUUACCAACCAAAGGGUCACUGUAAGGAUGGUGAAAACGAUUCUCUUCCUAAUGUGAGAGAACCUGGAAGAAAGCCUCAUUCCCAUUCUUCAGAGCCACGAAGAUCAGCGUAUGUAGUCUACCGAACUGUCACAGUCACCCAAGAACCCAAGUUUAGCCGACCUAGAGCAGUUCCCGAGCCAUCUGUUCGGAAAUGCUCCAAAGGAAAGAAUGAGCCUGCCAAAAAUAGGAAAUUUUGGACACAAACGGACAUCUACGACAAAUACACUUCAGGAUCCUAUAAUGCACCAACCUGGGGGAAAAGAAAUCCACAGGCAAAAACAUUCUCCAAGACUAAAACAACCAUUCAGAGCCAAGAACACAUGGAAGCGACCCAAAAAGGAAACCGAUAUGAAGACAGAAGGGAGAUGAAACGAGUACUUGAAUUCACAAGAACAGUCUAAACUGAAAUAAGGGAAUUCUCAACUGUAGUUCAAACGAUCAUAAAAUUGUAAAUUUCAAAAAGGCAGCCUGGGGCCUGAAUGGGAUCAGAGCUGCUUGUUAGGGACAUAAGCAUCCACUGCUCUUUCUGCUGUAGCAGUAGACAUCAUGGAAGCAAGAAAAAACAAUGAACCCCAGCAGUGUAAGCAGUUAACACACAGCACCUAAGAGCAGGAAUCAGGUAAUUUCUCAAUUCACUAAAAGGAGUGAAGUAAGAAACGUGGAGCACAAGGACUUGCGUUAAAAGACGCUCAAAGAAUAAUGUUCAUCUUUGUGCUCUCAAGACAACAGGUUCUACACAGGAAGAAGUUGGGUCUUAUUUAAGCACCACAAGAUGGGUUUGUUCCAUUUUACAUUAAAGAAACAUGGGACGGGAGAAUGGAAGACUCUUUGAGAUCGUGUGAUUUUCAAUACUUUGAUGAAACGAG